CGUAGGUGGCAAGCGUUGUCCGGAUUUAUUGGGUUUAAAGGGUGCGUAGGCGGCCCUGUAAGUCAGUGCUGAAAUAUCCCGGCUUAACCGGGAGGGUGGCAUUGAUACUGCAGGGCUUGAGUACAGAUGAAGUAGGCGGAAUUGACGGUGUAGCGGUGAAAUGCAUAGAUAUCGUCAAGAACACCGAUAGCGAAGGCAGCUUACUAAGCUGUAACUGACGCUGAGGCACGAAAGUGUGGGGAUCAAACAGGAUUAGAUACCCUGGUAGUCCGCACUGUAAACGUUGAUGACUCGAUGUUGGCGAUACACAGCCAGCGUCCAAGAGCAAUCGUUAAGUCAUCCACCUGGGGAGUACGCCGGCAACGGUG
rnacentral:rRNA from 1 species